rnacentral:SRP_RNA from 11 species
GCUGUAGCCCGAGCGGGGGGAGUGUGUCUGGACUGUGCGGGCGAGGCCGAGGGCCCAUCUUUACCAAUGCCGAUCCUGCGCCGACUUCAAGGUGGCGGUCGCCAUUGCUCACCGGGCGGAAGCUUGGUGGACUUGGGUGAUGAUGCGAGGCGGAACGCCACAGGCUGGAAACAGAGCAAGGAAAAGUCUCCGCCGUCAUCAGUGAAGCGAUCACGUGGGUGAAU